rnacentral:rRNA from 1 species
CGGCGUUUCCGGCGGUCACGCGUUACAUCGCCCCCCGGGGGACUACGCCCGCCAGGUUCCAACUCAUAUGAAUUGCCGGGGGCCCGCCACAAGCGGUGGACCCUGUGGUUUAAUUCGAUGCCAACGCGAAGAACCUUACCUGGUCUUGACAUCCACAGAACUUUCCAGAGAUGGAUUGGUGCCUUCGGGAACUGUGAGACAGGUGCUGCAUGGCUGUCGUCAGCUCGUGUUGUGAAAUGUUGGGUUAAGUCCCGCAACGAGCGCAACCCUUAUCCUUUGUUGCCAGCGGUUAGGCCGGGAACUCAAAGGAGACUGCCAGUGAUAAACUGGAGGAAGGUGGGGAUGACGUCAAGUCAUCAUGGCCCUUACGACCAGGGCUACACACGUGCUACAAUGGCAUAUACAAAGAGAAGCGACCUCGCGAGAGCAAGCGGACCUCAUAAAGUAUGUCGUAGUCCGGAUUGGAGUCUGCAACUCGACUCCAUGAAGUCGGAAUCGCUAGUAAUCGUAGAUCAGAAUGCUACGGUGAAUACGUUCCCGGGCCUUGUACACACCGCCCGUCACACCAUGGGGGUGGGUUGCAAAAGAAGUAGGUAGCUUAACCUUCGGGAGGGCGCUACCACUUAGAUUUAAAGGUC